rnacentral:rRNA from 1 species
CCUACGGGAGGCAGCAGUAUUUAAUAUUGCUCCCUGGGGGCCCCCCUGAACCAGCAACGCCGCGUGGAGGAUGAAGGUCUUCGGAUUGUAAACUUCUUUUUUUAGAGAAGAUAAUGACGGUAUCUAACGAAUAAGCACCGGCUAACUCCGUGCCAGCAGCCGCGGUAAUACGGCGGGUGCAAGCGUUAUUCGGAAUCACUGGGCGUAAAGGGAGCGUAGGCGGGAUAGCAAGUCAGAUGUGAAAUCCUGUGGCUUAACCAUAGAACUGCAUUUGAAACUGUUAUUCUAGAGUAUAGGAGAGGUAGGUGGAAUUCUUGGUGUAGGGGUGAAAUGCGUAGAGAUCAAGAGGAAUACUCAGUGCGAAGGCGACCUGCUAGAACGUAACUGACACUGAUGCGCGAAAGCGUGGGGAGCAAACAGGAUUAGAUACCCGGGUAGUC